AGUGAACGCUGGCGGUAGGCCUAACACAUGCAAGUCGAACGGCAGCACAGUAAGAGCUUGCUCUUACGGGUGGCGAGUGGCGGACGGGUGAGGAAUACAUCGGAAUCUACUUUUUCGUGGGGGAUAACGUAGGGAAACUUACGCUAAUACCGCAUACGACCUACGGGUGAAAGCAUGGGAUCUUCGGACCUUGCGCGAUUGAAUGAGCCGAUGUCGGAUUAGCUAGUUGGCGGGGUAAAGGCCCACCAAGGCGACGAUCCGUAGCUGGUCUGAGAGGAUGAUCAGCCACACUGGAACUGAGACACGGUCCAGACUCCUACGAGAGGCAGCAGUGGGGAAUAUUGGACAAUGGGCGCAAGCCUGAUCCAGCCAUACCGCGUGGGUGAAGAAGGCCUUCGGGUUGUAAAGCCCUUUUGUUGGGAAAGAAAAGCAGCAGGUUAAUACCCCGCUGUUCUGACGGUACCCAAAGAGUAAGCACCGGCUAACUUCGUG
rnacentral:rRNA from 1 species